rnacentral:rRNA from 1 species
ACGGCGAGUGAAGCGGUAACAGCUCAAAUUUGAAAUCUGGCUCCUCGGGGCCCGAAUUGUAAUUUGUAGAAGAUGCUUUGGGUCUGGGCCUGGCCUAAGUUCCUUGGAACAGGACGUCGUAGAGGGUGAGAAUCCCGUAUGCGGCUGGCGCCCGUGCCCGUGUAAAGCUCUUUCGACGAGUCGAGUUGUUUGGGAAUGCAGCUCUAAAUGGGUGGUAAAUUUCAUCUAAAGCUAAAUAUUGGCCAGAGACCGAUAGCGCACAAGUAGAGUGAUCGAAAGAUGAAAAGCACUUUGGAAAGAGAGUUAAACAGUACGUGAAAUUGUUGAAAGGGAAGCGCUGGCAACCAGACUUGGGCGCUGUUGAUCCGCUAGGGUUCUCUCUAGGGCACUCGGCAGCGCGCAGGCCAGCAUCGGUUUGGGGGGUUGGAGAAUGGCUGGUGGAAUGUGGCUGUCUUCGGGCAGUGUUAUAGCCACCGGUGGCAUGCAGCCUCCCCGGACCGAGGACCGCGCUUCGGCUAGGAUGCUGGCGUAAUGGUUGUCAGCGACCCGUCUUGAAACACGGACCAAGGAGUCUAACAUCUAUGCGAGUGUUUGGGUGUUAAACCCAUACGCGGAAUGAAAGUGAACGUAGGUGAGAACCCGUAAGGGUGCAUCAUCGACCGAUCCU